GCGAGUGAAACGGGACCAGCCCAGCGCCGAAUCCUUUCUGGCAACAGUGAAGGAACUGUGGCGUGAAGAARAUAUCUGCCGGUGUGGUUAGUUUGCGCAAGUUCUCCUGAGUGAGACUCCAUCCCAUGGAGGGUGCAAGGCCCGUACCGCAAACAGCUGAUGCCGGUUAGUGUCUUUCGGAGAGUCGCCUUAUUUGUGAGUAUAAGGUGAAGUCGGUGGUAAACUCCAUCGAAGGCUAAAUACGGCCGCGCGUCCGAUAGCGAACAAGUACCGUGAGGGAAAAUUGAAAAGCACUUUGAAGAGAGAGCGAAAUAGUGCGUGAAACGGCUCAGAGGCAAGCAGAUGGGGCCUCGAAGGCAGAGCAGCGAAUUCAGCCGGUAGUUUGUGCGGAUGGCGGUUACUGGGAUCGUAAGACCCGGUAAUUGUCAGUGCGUUGUACAACUGCUGGUGCACUUUCGUUGCACGAUACACAACCGCCGUUGAGCGAGCAUCCGUUGAGUUGGCAGCGUGGAGCCCUAUUCCCCUUAAAGGCGUAGGUGCUCACAGCCGGCUUCUAACGCGUUUGCGCCUCAACCGGUCAAGUUUACAUGUGCCAGCCAGCUUUGGCAGUGGGACCGGCUUGCUCCGAUUAGGCGUCAGGGAUGACGAACUUGUUCGGCUUCUUGGCGUCUGGUGGACUCGCUGUCGGCUUUCCACGUGGGCAUAUUGUUGAUUCGGUUGUGAGUAGAUGGCAGCCUAUCUAACCCGUCUU
rnacentral:rRNA from 1 species